GGUUGAUCCUGCCAGUAGUCAUAUGCUUGUCUUAAAGACUAAGCCAUGCAUGUCUAAGUAUAAGUAUUAUACAGCGAAACUGCGAAUGGCUCAUUAAAACAGUUAUAGUUUAUUCGAUUAUUUUCUCCUACAUGGAUAACCGUAGUAAUUCUAGAGCUAAUACAUGCUGUCAAACCUGACUUUUGUGGAAGGGUUGUAUUUAUUAGAUACCAAAACCAGCGCCCGCAAGGGCCUGUGAUGAUUCAUAAUAACUGAGCGGAUCGCGGCCUUGCCGCGACGAAUCGUUCAAGUUU
rnacentral:rRNA from 1 species